AAGUCAGGUGUGAAAGCCCCGGGCUCAACCUGGGAACUGCAUUCGAUACUGGCAGACUAGAGUGCGGGAGAGGGAGGUGGAAUUCCACGUGUAGCGGUGAAAUGCGUAGAUAUGUGGAGGAAUACCAGUGGCGAAGGCGGCCUCCUGGCUCGACACUGACACUGAUGUGCGAAAGCGUGGGGAGCAAACAGGAUUAGAUACCCUGGUAGUCCACGCCGUAAACGAUGUCUACUAGCUGUAGGGGUACUUGAGACCUUUGUAGCGCAGCUAACGCAAUAAGUAGACCGCCUGGGGAGUACGGCCGCAAGGUUAAAACUCAAAUGAAU
rnacentral:rRNA from 1 species